rnacentral:rRNA from 1 species
AAACCAGCACCUCAAGUGGUCAGGAUGAUUAUUGGGCCUAAAGCAUCCGUAGCCGGCUCUGUAAGUUUUCGGUUAAAUCUGUAUGCUCAACAUACAGGCUGCCGGGAAUACUGCAGAGCUAGGGAGUGGGAGAGGUAGACGGUACUCGGGAGGAAGUGGUAAAAUGCUUUGAUCUCUCGAUGACCACCUGUGGCGAAGGCGGUCUACCAGAACACGUCCGACGGUGAGGGAUGAAAGCUGGGGGAGCAAACAGGAUUAGAAACCCGAGUAGUCC